AUGCUGCCUUUGAGCCCUCACCGUGCCUCCUCGUGGCUCUGAGGGUUAAGCUGCGACGCCAUAGCACAUCGCUCAUGCAUAACUGGGGCCACCUGCUCAUUGAGGGUGGCCUCUUCAACCACCAGCUACAGGG
ensembl:snoRNA